rnacentral:rRNA from 1 species
CCUACGGGAGGCAGCAGUAGGGAAUAUUGGACAAUGGGCGCAAGCCUGAUCCAGCCAUCCCGCGUGAAGGAUUAAGGCCCUCUGGGUUGUAAACUUCUUUUCUCUGGGAAUAAAAAGUGGAAUUCUUUCCGCCUUGAAGGUACCAGAGGAAUAAGCACCGGCUAACUCCGUGCCAGCAGCCGCGGUAAUACGGAGGGUGCAAGCGUUAUCCGGAUUCACUGGGUUUAAAGGGAGCGUAGGUGGCUUUGUAAGUCAGUGGUGAAAUGCCGCAGCUCAACUGCGGAACUGCCAUUGAUACUGCUUAGCUUGAAUCACGUCGAGGUGGAUGGAAUAAUACAUGUAGCGGUGAAAUGCUUAGAUAUGUAUUAGAACACCGAUUGCGAAGGCAGUUCACUAGGCGUGUAUUGACACUGAGGCUCGAAAGCGUGGGGAUCAAACAGGAUUAGAUACCCUGGUAGUCCACGCCCUAAACGAUGUAAACUCGACAUUAGCGAUAUACUGUUAGUGUCCAAGCGAAAGCGUUAAGUUUACCACCUGGGAAGUACGACCGCAAGGUUGAAACUUAAAUAGAUAGNGNGAGAGNGCGAGCGACACGAGGGAGGAGG